rnacentral:rRNA from 1 species
GACGACGCUGGCGGCAGGCCUAAUACAUGCAAGUCGGGCGAGCGGCGGACGGGUGUGUAAUGUAUGGGGCCCUGCCUGAUGGAGGGGGUAAACUAGUGGAAACGGUAGCUAAUACCGCAUACCAUCCGAUGAUCCCAUAUGGGAUUAGCUUGUAGGUGAGGUAACGGCUUACCUAGGCAACGAUCCCUAGCUGGUCUGAGAGGAUGAUCAGCCACACUGGAACUGAGACACGGCCCAGACUCCUACGGGAGGCAGCAGUAGGGAAUCUUGCGCAAUGGGCGAAAGCCUGAUGGAGCAAUGCCGCGUGAGUGAAGAAGGCCUUCGGAUUGUAAAGCACUGUCAUUCGGGAGGCGUUACCGACACAGAAAGCACCGGCUAACUACGUGCCAGCAGCCGCGGUAAUAC